rnacentral:lncRNA from 1 species
GAUGAUGACUUCCAUAUGUACAUUCCUUGGAAAGCUGAACAAAAUGAGUGAAAACUCUAUACCGUCAUCCUCGUCGAACUGAGGUGUUGUGGCCAUGGAAGUAAGGCCAGUGGCUACGAGGGACAGUCUUCAUCUUGGGAGAUCCCUAGAGAGGGCAGGGAGCCCCUUGACAUGUGGAAUGUGAUCUCUGUUGGGUGCUGGUGGAUCCCACAGGUGGUCUGGCAUGGAAGAAGGCCAGAGGCUGCGAUGGAUCAUCUUUGUCUUGGGAGAUUCCUGGAGAUGGUGGGGAGCCCCUGGGCACGUGCAGCAUAUGUGGCGUGGGCUUCUUCAGGUGCUGGUGGAUCCCUCAGGAUGCUUUUCAAGGUUUUUCUAUGAGUUCUGUUAAAGAGUCUGAAAAUGGAGCGUAGAAGACAUGCUUCGAUUUCCAGGAUGGUUGUGUUUUCCAGAGAGGCGGAGGUAAACCACUGGCGCAGCCCUGCCUCCCACAGAUAAUUCCGGGUGCAGUGUUUCAUAUCUAGACUUGGACUUCUAUCCUACCAUACUUCUUUGUGUGCAGUUCAUUGUGGAACCAGCACAGAUUUUCAUACGAAAGUUAUUUCUUUUUAACCUCAAAAAGUGACAGAAUGGAGUGUAUCAUGAAAAAGUCUGACAUCAAAACCUCAAAAUGUGAUAUUGAUUGGGUGAGAUAGAAUUCCAUGGAAUUUCAUUGCCAAACCAGUGAAGUGCUAAUUUUGACAUUUGUACCAGCUAACGUAGCUGUGAAGAAACACACCAAUACACUUCUAAGGACAGCAUAGACCAAGAUCUAGGUUUCAUAUGGAUGAAUUUAUUCUUCCCUUUGAGGCAAGACAAGAAGGAAAGAAAGUAUUGGGAAUAAUGCUGCCCUCCCAUCCUCAAGGGCCAGUGGGAACUCUAAUAUUGAUUGGUUUUCACAGAAUUCCAUGGACUUUAACUGCUGAACCAAUGAUGCACUGAUUUUGUCACUUGUACCAGCUAACGCAUCUGGGAGGCAACAAAACAAUACUCUCCUGAGGUUAAUGUGGACCAAAAACUAGAUUUCAUAUAAAAGAGUUUAUUCCUUCUACUUGAGGUGUGACAUGAAGGAAAGUAAUGGAAAUAAUUCUGCCCUCCCAUUCUCAAGGGCCAGGGGGAAUUCAAAUAUUGAACGGAAGUGAUUUUGGAAUUGCAUGGAAUUCUCACUGCCAUCCCAAAGAAAUGCUGAUCUUGUCACUCUUACCUGUUUCAUUCCCUGGGGGCAGAACAAAAGGACGCACUCCAAAGAUCGGCAUGAACCAAGAACUGGGUUUCAUAUAAAAUAUUUUAUUCUGUCCUCUUGAGAUGUGACAUGAGAAAAGUAUUGAGAAUACUUCUAUCACCUCAUCUUCAAGAAUCCGUAGGAAUUCUCCCAUGGUGGACUUUACGGUUAACCUGAACAGGUCUUGGAAAAAGGACUUUAAACAUUCUCCUGUUCUGUGGAAUAAGUAUACUUUUUUCUGGACAUACACCUUGUCAGUGAGUUCCAUGUGAUACUAGAGUUGCAUAGAUUUUUAACCUUUACGCCAAUGAAGAUCUGAGGCAAACAUUGCCCCUUUUUUAGAAGUUUGCAUUUGUCACUGAUAACUGUAAUAAUUGAUCUUGUUGAAAAGCCUGGGAAAUGAAGAUCUGAUAUGUCACUUUUACCGGCUUCCUCAACUGAAAAAGAAUACAAUGAAACACGCUGAGAAUUUUUGUGCUUUCUCAGUCUUGCUGAUGAUCUUUCUAUGGGCCUGAAGCGUGGAGAGUGCCAGAGAGGCUGAUCCUCAGCAGUGUGGCAGAGGAAAGUUGGGUGCGACUAAGGGGUAUGCGGUGCCCACAUGCCACUGGGUCCUCAGCAGUACCACCUGAUUGGAAGUGAUAUUGGUGGAAGACAACAUUUUGCCGCUUGGAAUUCUCACCUCCACACCAAAGAAGUACUGUUUUUGUCAUUUGCACCAGCUUCUUUCUCCAGGAAAGAUCAAAACGAUGCACUGCAAGUGUGAUUGGUCCAGAUAGCUGCCUUAUCCAACUGCCUCCUUUGGACCACUUCAUCAUGGGACAGCUUGAUGCAAUCUACUUGACAAGACCCUGGAACCCCACACCCCUCAUGGAACCAGUGUCCACCUCCCAGUCACAGUGUGACCCCAGGGAACUCUUGCCUGCUUGCUUUAAACCCACCACUUAAAAGUCUCCACAGAAAACCUGUUUGAAUAGUACCCUUGACCCAAUAAGGGCAUUGGCCCCUGGGUGUCUCUCUCUCUCUCUCUCUCUCUCUCUCCCUCUCUCUCCCUCUCUCUCUCUCGCUCCCUGACCUCUGCGUGUGGACUCCAGGCAUGCCAUAUACCCCUCAGGACCUGAAGCAAAAGAAUGAAUUAAAGAAAACUCCAGAGAAUGAGCUGACAACCUACUCCCUGGUCAGUGGCUCUCCAUGCCUACCUGUGGUCUCUUGGACACCCUUGCAGAAGAUGACUUCCUGGGAACUCUUCUGGGAGUGAAUGUUAUCAGCAAAUUCCCAAAACAACACCCCUUAGACAAAAAGCCUCCUCACCUAUGCAUUGCCUAGACCACCCACUAAAGGUGAUGGCCACAAAGAGGUGGAUUUGUUGAGUUGGUGCCAUUCCUUCUACUGCCAGCUUCACCAAAACAAUGACACAGUCUUCCUUCCGCAUGGAGACUCUUCUCUUUCCUGUGUUGCAGUGGAUGCCUCCUGCAGAUAAGAAAUGCUUAACUGAGAAAUGCUCAUGUUGGGAUAUCAUCGAUGAGACUUUAAUUUGGGCAUGGUGACUGUUUCCCUUGCUGCCACUUGACUCAAUCCCAGGAGCCUCAGUAGAGGAUAUAAUAUUACACAAGAUGCUCAAAAUGGUGGAAUUGCUCAGUGCUCCCAUAAAUAUACAUUUAUAAUUUUCAUUUGCCACAUGGUAAACUGAAAAAUACAGACUAUAUUAAAAAGAAACUGCAUGAUUUUUUUUCAAAAAUUCAAAGCAUAUUUAAAUAAUAUAUAAAUUAAAUGCCCUCCUCUCUUCCAAUUCUGUCCCUAUAGUUUUCCUCUAUUAAGUGAACUACAUGCAUUCUUUUAGUGGAUAGAUGCACACAAACACACAAGCCAUUAUGGGGAAGGAUCCACGUGUGUGGCCAUAUUGUAACACAUUUUUCUGCAAAUCACCUCUUUCAUUUAACAGCCCUUAUUCAAUGGCCUUUUUCUUUUUCAGUAGUACAUACACAUCUGUGUCAUUUGUUGAAUGACGACAUGAAUGUUUUGUAGAUAAAAUAUAAUUAAAUGUUUUAAGCAUUUCUCACUCAUAGAUAUUUAUGUUAGCACCAAAUUUCUGUGCAAUGAACCUCCCUAUAUAUCAGUAAUUUUGCAUUUGUCUAUAAUAUCAUAAUAAAUUACUUAUCAGUUGAAUUACUGGGAUUAAGUAUGUGCACACUUUAUAUUUAUAUUUUGAAAAUUAUUGCAAGAUUGCCUUCAAAAAUGUGGUUAACAACUUUAUCUUCAAAUGGCAAUGAAUGAGAUUGCCAGCUUUCCUACAGCCUCACAGACAAUGGAUUUUAUAAAUAUUUAACAUUUUUGCCAAUGUGAUCACCCAAACUAUUGUCUUAAAUUGUAUCUCUUUUGUUUUUGAGUUUGGUCAUUUUUUCAUGUUUAUUAGCCAUCUGUAUUUUUUAAUUUCUUCUUUAUGUCCAAUUUUGUGGGUGGGAGGAGGAUUUAGUCUCUUCCUGAUUUCGAAGAGCUCAUUUACUAUUUCGGGAAAUAAGAUUUGGAUUGUCAACCAUUAUAGCUAUUUUUUACACACUUUUCAACUUUGUUUUUGUUAUAAGAAUGUGUAUGAUUGUUACAUGUCCAAGUAUAACCAUGUUCGCUUUUAUGGCUUCUGAGUUUCAUGUCAUUUUUGGAAAGAUAUAUAUAUUGAGUCCAUAAAACCCUUCACCUAUGUUAAAUUCUAAUUCUUUUGUGUUUUUUUAAUUCAAAUUCUUAAAUCAUGAGAAAUUUUUUUGUUUUGAAAUCUUAAAGUUGCCAAGUUACUUGCCAUUACUUGCGAUUAUUUGCCAAUAAUUGCCCAUUUAUCUGUACCGCCAUCUUGCGCAUAUGCUGUACUCUCAUCUGUGACUGGCUCCAUUUUUGUUCUGUGGAUUUGUGUGUCUCUUCUUCUGCCUCCUGUCUCGUGUCUGCUCGUUGGAAGAAAUUACAGUUUAGACUGCAAUUUCAUCAACUUUAAUAAAUCAAUUGAGGGGAGAAUUGGUUUUUAAAAAUAUUAAGUAAGUCUUCGUAUCCAAGGACAAGGUAUGUCUUUUCUUAUUCAAUAAUUUUAAUUACUGUUAAUAUUUUCACUGUGGUGAUGGGAGUUUUUCUUUUAAUUUAUUUUCUUGUUCAUUUUUUGUAUCUAAAGUUUUUGUUUUGUUUUGUUUUGGGGGUAAGUUGUCACCUUACUGUUUCUUGUUGCUUUUCAGAUUUUUUCAAAGUAUAGACUAAAUCCUUCACAAAUAUUUAAAGUUUUUAUUUUCCCCCUUCAUAUUGAUCCUGAUUUUAGUUAUGUUGACAAAGUCCACAGACUGUUACUAUCAGAACACUUGAACAGUUAUGGAAAUAUUACCUACCCUUGAUUUAAUCAGAGUUUAAUGGUAUGCUUCUUUGGUUUGACUGGCACAUUGUCGCUGGUCAUUUCCUCCCAAAGACCACCAGAAAGAGCUAUGAUCAAGCAAAGCUGAGUUUGUUAAACUUACCUGCAGCAAGGGAAAACACCACCUUGAUAGGGUUUAAUAAUGUUUCAAAAUCAAGAAAUGAGGCUUUGGGGUCUGGGCAGGGAACUAAUUAGAAAUGGGCAAAAUUUGUCAUGCAAUACCUUGUGGGAAAGUGAGAUGAGGUUCUUAAUGUGAGUAUUGAUGGUGAAAUCAUUUUCUAGGUGAGCUGUUUGCCUAUAUAAAGAUGUUAUCAAUGACAGAAGAACUAUUUGCCUAGAUAAACAAACUGAAUUUAUUUAUUGGUUUACAGUUUUAUCUUGCUGGGCAGGACUCUGCUGGGGGUGGUAUCAGGUCUUAUUCCCAAUAGGUAAGUUAUUUGGAUAUGGGUGGUCUUAAUCAUCAAUGUGUAAAAUGCUGAUUUUAAGUGCGAAAUACUUUGUCUACCAUGUUAGGAAAGUCUGCCACCUUUUAUCUUUUUUAAGGAAUUUUAAUCAAAACCAGGUGGUAGAUAUAAUCAAAUUGUUUUGCAGAAUCAAUUUUCCUGUUCUCUUUAAAGACUUUUAUCACUGUGAAUUAAUUUACUAUUAUUGCAACUUCCUUUAAUUCCUUGAAUGAACAGACCCUACUGGUUUUAAAAAUGUUUUAUUCUUUUAAUUUACUACUUAAUUGUGGGUAUUUUAAUUUGAUUUGGAAUUUUUACAAGUAUACAACUAAGUGAAAUUGAUCUGUGAUUUUUCUUUUUUGUGCUAUUUUUGUCAUGUUUUGAUAUCAGAUAUUCUGGUUGUGUUAAAAUAAUUUUGAGGAUUUUCUUCUUAUACUGUGUUCUAGAGUGGGUAAAAAAGCCCUAGUCUCACUAUCAGUGUUUAAGUGAACACAUCAGUGACAUCAUCUGGACUCUCCUUUGUUUUUGCUGGUUUGGAGUUAGGACAUCUAGAAGUUUUUUUCUUUUUUUCCUUUUUUUGUAUGGUUAUUGCUUGUUCUUUGUUUUGUGUCAAAUUUAACCUGUUUUCUCUUAGCAAAUCACAGCUCAUGCAGAUUUUCAAACACAUUAGCCUUGUUAUACAAAGUGUUCUUUCAUCAUUCUAUUAAAUUUCCAUUUUCAUUCCAGUUAUAGUUAUUUCUGCUGUGCCUUUGUUAAUGAAUAAGUUUAAACAGUGGAUGUUUAGCAUCACUAGCCUUCCCCUUCCAUCUCCCUUAAUCAGGACCUUGGUAUAAUUUAUCAGGUAUUUUUUAAGGUUCUAAUUUACUUAUAUAUAUUGUUUCUGUAUUCUUUUGUUUCUUUUCUUAAUAAAUUCUUAAA